rnacentral:rRNA from 1 species
UGCAGUCGACGAUGAUGCCCAGCUUGCUGGGUGGAUUAGUGGCGAACGGGUGAGUAACACGUGAGUAACCUGCCCCUGACUCUGGGAUAAGCGUUGGAAACGACGUCUAAUACUGGAUAUGAUCACUGGCCGCAUGGUCUGGUGGUGGAAAGAUUUUUUGGUYGGGGAUGGACUCGCGGCCUAUCAGCUUGUUGGUGAGGUAAUGGCUCACCAAGGCGACGACGGGUAGCCGGCCUGAGAGGGUGACCGGCCACACUGGGACUGAGACACGGCCCAGACUCCUACGGGAGGCAGCAGUGGGGAAUAUUGCACAAUGGGCGAAAGCCUGAUGCAGCAACGCCGCGUGAGGGAUGACGGCCUUCGGGUUGUAAACCUCUUUUAGUAGGGAAGAAGCGAAAGUGACGGUACCUGCAGAAAAAGCACCGGCUAACUACGUGCCAGCAGCCGCGGUAAUACGUAGGGUGCAAGCGUUGUCCGGAAUUAUUGGGCGUAAAGAGCUCGUAGGCGGUUUGUCGCGUCUGCUGUG